UCUUAUGUAUGAGUAAAGAAAGUGGCUUCUUGAGAAGGAAUCUAAUCUUGAUAAAGAUGCUAUGGA
rnacentral:pre_miRNA from 1 species